rnacentral:lncRNA from 1 species
AUGAGGAGGUUGUGGACAAGGGGAGCAGCGGCAGCCCCCGCCCGUGGGGUGAGGCUGGGUCCUCCCCGGGCCCCUGUGUCACCCACAGCACCCAGGCAGAGGGUGGGGGCCACAGGGCUGAGGAGGCAGAGCGACCCCCACCGGGAAGGGCCAGGCUACAGCCCAGGGGCAGGUUGUCCCUCACAGCAAGUCGGGGCCAGGGUGCAGCCAGGGAGCAGCUGGGACGUGCGCCCUACAGGGGCCUGCAGCCGGGUCGGGCCUCUUUCCUUGGGGCUCCCUGUGCACACGGCCCGCACGCUGCUGGCCUGCAGCUCUGGACAGCGGCCCCAGGAGCCGAGCUGCAAGGCUGGGGGGACACAGACACUUGGCUGUCUCAGACCCAGAGCUUACCCUCGCCAGGGCCGAGCCGGAGCCGGGGUCGUCCCCUGCAGAGAAUUCUGGAGCCUUGACAGGUGGCAGCGAGGGGACGGUGAGCGCCCAUCAGGAGCCGUCAGAGCAGCCGGGGGGGGGGGGGGGGGCCCACCUGGCCUCACUCACACGGACACACGCCCCCCCCCCCCCCGACCAGCACGGAAGUCUCCCGGGCACCCGGCUGCUCGGUGGCGCCAGGCUGAGAAGCGGCCUCCUUCGUCCUGCGCUGGUGGGGCCAGCAUCCAUCUUGUCCCGGCCGACGGAGGCGACCACGAGGGGAAGCUCCACAGCUCCCGUGGGCUGUCCCCCAGCGUCCCUCACACGGCCGGCAGGGGUCACGGUCAGGAGCUGGCCAAGGCCGAGCAUCAGUGGGGGCGAGGACCAGGGGCAGAGCAAAGCUGGGUGCCGUGGACGCGGUAGGCGCGGUAUGGCGGGGCCCAUCCCCGAUCCUGCUCUGGGACACCCGCCCCAGGGAAACACGGCCGUCCACGCCGACACGGCGGCACGGUUCCCAGCUGCCCGAUGACCGGCAAAGGUGAACAUGGACAGGACUGCAUGAGCGCGGGUCGGGGGAGGUCGGGCACGUGGAGCAGGUGCCGAGCGGGAGGAGCAGACGCACAGUGAGGCCUCCAGUGGGGCUGGGGUCUGUGGGCGCCACAGAGCAGCCAGGGUGUGACCCGGGCAUCUCCCCGCCGUAGCUCCCUGCGCUGCAACCACAUCUCCACCCAGAGCCAGCAGAGGAGGGGCUGAGCCCCUCAGGGAACCACACUGUCGCCCAGAGAGCCCGCUGUCUCCCUGAGCCCUGAGCCGAUCAGCGUGCGUGUGAGCCCCCUCCCCGUCCAAUGGGCACCCAAGAACGAUCCGACGAACACAGUAAUGCCUCAAAACCCGCUCCGCCCAGACGCUCCGCCGUCGGCUGCCCAUCAAAUAAAGUCUCUGCUUCUUUGCA